GGAAGAUACGUCCUCACAUUAGAAGAGCCGUGACGACAUGUCGCGUGGACUUUAACGCUUGUUAACGUCCUUGCUUACACAGCUUUUACUCGCACGUCAAGAUAACCUCCAGAUUGCGAACUAAUUCACUUUGGUAGUACUUAGUGUGUUCCCGGUCUUUCUAGUGCUUUCAUGUGCUCACUAAAUUCCAUUAAUUUGACUUGUAAUUUUGAUCACUCUCAUAUACGCGGAAAAAUAUCGGUUGUUCGAGUGGAGCGUUAUCAAUUUUUAGUUGCAAUUAUUUAAUUACUUAAUUAUUUUAAUACCUCGCAGUAGGGCGACCCAUCCCUUGAAAAGUCAAUUUGCUUCACAGAGGAAACGAGUAUUAAACAAGGAACGCUACUAUACAUGAGUGGAAAAUCAGAGAUAUCGAUGACGCUGAAUAUAAAAAUUCUACUUUAUCUAAUGAUUAUCUCUUAUGCCGAUGAGGCUCAAAGUGAGACAAUGCGCGGGGUUUCGUGCGUAAAUAAAACCAAUGAGUUGACUGCUUCCCGUAUCAUACCAGAAUACAUACCAGAAUCUCUACCAGGUGCAUUAUUCGUGGACUAUAAUCUUACAUAUGCAGCUCGAUGCGGCAUGAAACCAAAUCCCACACUCUUAGAAGUUAUGUACAAACCGAAUUUUUAUUUCAUAUCGGAUCCUAAAAUUGAUUAUUACGCUUUAUUUAUGUUCGAUCCUGAUGCACCGAAUCCAGAGGAACCUAUCUUCAGCCCAAUACUCCAUUACGCUUCCUGCAAUAUUCUGAAGAACAAGACAGACACAGGCACAACGCUCGCUGAUUAUCUACUACCUACGCCUUUAUCCGUAGCGCCUCACAGAUACAUAACUUUCGUGUUUAAACAGAAAGGCAUUUUACCGGUGGAGAUAUGUUUUCAAGGAAGAUACUCUUUGAAUCGAUUCUUCUUUCCACUGGAGAAAACGAUAGCUGAACUGAACUUAACAUAUUACGGCGUCCAGUGGUAUAGUGUAGGCUUAGCAUAAUAAUGAAUGAAUGUUUUACCUAAGGUGCAUUUUAAUGAUAUAUACAAGUACAUACAAUCUUAAGAAUUGAGUGCAUUUCGAUAAAUGGUUUGGAAAAUUUCAUAAGGAAUAGCUAUAAUAAGCACACAUUGAAAGUUGUAUUGCGCUCAGGAAAAAAUCACGAUGUUUUGACAAAUCAUCUUUAUGCAGCUUUAUUUGUAUAAUUAUACACCGUUAAAGGUCCACAUAAACAUACAAAUAAAAAUUAUUAAGGUUGUGCUGCCAACAUCAAUGAACUUUCCAAACAUCAGUGCGCUGCGCUCAGCCUUUGUUGAUGUAUCGAAUAAUUUCACCCUCGCACAAAAAUUUUCAUUCUUAAAUUCCUGUAUAUUAUCUAUUUUUUUAAGCUUUUGGUGGCAAUGUAGUUUAUAACUAUUCUGAUAUAAAAUAUGUGUAUAUGCAUAACAUAAUAUAAUUUUAACUUUAUUGAGAAGAAAUGGGCGCAUGUGUCCAUGCAUUGGGCCCUUCGAAAAAUUUAUUUUGUGCAAAGACUCAUGAUUAAUAAAUGAAUACUUAAUAUAAAAUAUUGAAUAAAAAUUUGGAUCAAGAAAAAUUGGAAAAAGCCCUCCUUGUCUCCGAGAAAGAUAGAAUAUAAAAUAUUAAAAUAAGUAUAUUAGUUGUUAUUAAAGUUUAAUUUACAGUGCUUACAGGGUUGUUUGCCAUCCAUGAUAUUGCCACCCAAAAAUUGCCAUAUCCAUACAUUCGUUAGUUUUUCUUUUAGAAAAAAGGAGGAACGCGGAGGUUUUAAAAUUCUGAGAUUGAGUUACGUGUUCUCAGAAUUUAGCCAUGAAAUUCAUCUAGAGCAAAUAUGCAACACUACGAAGGCAUCUCAUGAGAUGCUGCACAUUUCUGAGGAAUUGCGCAUCUAGUUUGAUGGUGCAUGAAAGAGCAAUUGGACGUACUUCUGCCAAACGGAACUAUGUGCAUUAUGACUUGAGCCCUGUUACACUUGUAUCCUUAUGGGUCUCCGAGCUCAUGUCUUAAUGCACAUAGUUCCGUUUGGCAGAAAUACGUCCAAUUGAACAGUUUCGCCGAGACAAAGAGACGGUCAUUGAUGGCACUCCUAAUUUUGAGGGGCUCUCCUCGUUUCAUGUUUAGCCGACUCAACAUCAACAUGAGUGCGACUUGCAAUGUCACGAUUCAUUUCACCCGCCAGAUCUGCCAUCACUACAAUUUCGUUUCAACUCCAUCGACCUCUAUUUCCCGGUCACUGCGCUCAAUAAGGGGGGGGUGCGCGGGGGCCUCCCCCUCCCCCAUCCCGAGAAGGGCGGUUGAUCGGAUCGUCCACUUGCCCACCCACACCCGUUGACCGGAAACAACAUAACUCAAUGAAAACUUAGUGUGAAUGUGAGCUUUUUUGCAAUACGGCUUUUUCGACGUAGAGUUACCUGAUUCUGCGGGGGUGAUCAGGGGUCCGUUUAGGGACUCCGAUGUGAGAUCGAUACGUUUAAUAGUCCCUGCACGUCGAGAUGUCAUGGAAUUUGAAAGUUAUGAAAGAGCUCUGGAAUUAUAUUAUGUUUUCACAUACAUCGGAGCGCUGAUCGGUAUCGGGACCGCUGGAGCGUUACGGAUAUCUUCUUUUGCGCGGUCGAGCGACGCGACGCUCGACGAAUCUCCGGGCCAUUGAGCUUCACCCGCCUUGUAAUUUGGUGUAAUGAGUCUUUGAGGUCUUCUAAAAGAAGCAAAGUCGGGAGAUGAAAAGAGGAGGUAACGCGAUUCACAGGAAUUAGAUUUUAUCUUACGAGCUUAUUAUCCUUGUAUUAGUGGCUCAAUAAAUACCUUCACGAGAG
rnacentral:lncRNA from 1 species